UCUGAUACCACAACUAUGUCACACCCCACCCCGAAACCACUACCCAUUUGGCACGGUUCGGCCACGGCGGCAGACCGCUGAACGGACAGCACCUCCCCUGUCCGCCCAAGGCUCAACAACAGGAAUGUGUACAAGAAUUUACCCAGGAAUUUAAAUUCUAAACAUACACAUCCACAAGGACACAAACAGUGCUAACAAAACAAAGAGCAAGCAAUCCACAAGAUAUAACAUGUGAAAUAAAGAGAGUACUUUACUAACUGUUACAACAGUUCCAUCAUUCUCAUUUACAUCAUUUUCUUUAAAUGAUUACAUUUUCAUCUCCAAAAUAUAUACUCUCCAAAUCCUCACCUACAAUGAAUCUCUCUCUCAAUACAUA
rnacentral:lncRNA from 1 species